rnacentral:rRNA from 1 species
AAAGGUAAGCUACUAAGAGCGAAUGGUGGAUGCCUUGACUGGUAAAGGCGAUGAAGGACGUACUAGACUGCGAUAAGCUACGGGGAGCUGUCAAGAAGCUUUGAUCCGUAGAUUUCCGAAUGGGGCAACCCAGUAUAUAGAGAUAUAUACUACCAUAAUGGAGCGAACGAGGGGAAUUGAAACAUCUUAGUACCCUCAGGAAAAGAAAUCAAUAGAGAUUACGUCAGUAGCGGCGAGCGAAAGCGUAAGAGGGCAAACCCAGUGCUUGCACUGGGGGUUGUAGGACUGCAAUGUGCAAUAAGUAAGGUUAGUAGAACACUCUGGAAAGUGUAGCCAUAGAGGGUGAUAGUCCCGUAUACGAAAACCAAACUUUAGCUAGCAGUAUCCUGAGUAGGGCGAAACACGUGGAAUUUUGUCUGAAGCUGGGUCGACCACGAUCCAACCCUAAAUACUAAUACCAGAUCGAUAGUGCACAAGUACCGUGAGGGAAAGGUGAAAAGAACUGAGGUGAUCAGAGUGAAAUAGAACCUGAAACCAUUUGCUUACAAUCAUUCAGAGCACUAUGUAGCAAUACAGUGUGAUGGACUGCCUUUUGCAUAAUGAGCCUGCGAGUUGUGGUGUCUGGCAAGGUUAAGCACACGCGAAGCCGUAGCGAAAGCGAGUCUGAAUAGGGCGCUUAAGUCAGAUGCUGCA